GCCUGCGCCUGCGCCGGGUUUGUCCGGUACGGCUGUGCCGCUCGGUGUGCACCGCUCCUCGGGACAGCGUGUGCCGGGGCCCUCCUCGGGAAAUAUUUCUUCCUUCUAUGGAAACCAACGAGCACCCGGGCCUGCACUCUUGAUAUAAAUACCCGGUGAUGACCGACUUAUUGCGGGCGACCGGGCGACGAAUCCACCGUUGGGACAGCACUGCCGGUGUCAGGCCAGCUGGAAGGUCAGGAGCUGAGGAGAAUAUGAAGGGCUCCCAUCAUGCUGCUGAGUGCCCCUCCUCUCCUGGCCGUACGCUGAGGGCAGGUGGAGGCAGGGACAAGGGUCAGGAGCAAGGGCAGAAUGAUUUUUUGCUUUCUCAGUCUUCCUAGAAAGAAAGAAAGAAAAAAAAUCUAAAAUCUUUAAGAUAUGUGUGGGAUCUGUUGAGUCACAGCCUGAACCACGGAUUGAUCACCUGUGGAAAGGACCCAGUCAGCCCUGAGAGCACAGGUGGAUUUGCCACAAGGUUUCUUACAAUGACUAACAGUAGAAGGAAAUGUGCUCUGAAGGGGUGUGCUUGCAAGUCGGCUCAAGAGAAAUGAAAAUCGUUGUAGCGGGGACCCUGCCUGGGAGCAGAGCAUUACCAAAUACGUUACUAUGCAAAGAAUCUCAUGUUGAAUAAUUUAGAAAUACCUUUUUGUUAGUGGUCAAGUAAAACAUGGCAACAGAGGGUAAUCUCAGGAAAAAGAGGGGAUAAAAACAUCUCUAUCAAGCCCAGACUUGAUGGGAAAGGAAGAGCUGAACAAGUGUGCGUGUCUGGGGGUGUUCAUCUUCUAGACUGCACCCAGAGAAGGAGAAUGAUUGUGAUGCUGCAGUCUCGGAACUCCAGUCAGUACACAAAUGGAAGGAUUUCUGGGCUGAGAUGAAUUUAUCUCCGCAGCUUCUAAUCUUUUGGAUUUUGUGUUCUAGUGCAGUGAAGCUUUUGGGCAUGAUUUAUCAUCACUAUAGCUAACACUGUAUGGGAAAAAAACUGACUUUAGAUCUUACAUCAAAGCUUUUAACAAAGCUUGUUUCCCUGGAUUUUACUUGCUUUCCAUUGUCUCCACCUCUCUGGUGCCUCUUUAAAAUAUAUGCCUAAUC
rnacentral:lncRNA from 7 species